rnacentral:rRNA from 1 species
GAUGAACGCUGGCGGCGUGCUUAACACAUGCAAGUCGAACGGUGAAGGCGGAGCUUGCUCUGCUGGAUCAGUGGCGAACGGGUGUGUAACACGUGAGCAAUCUGCCCCUGACUCUGGGAUAAGCGCUGGAAACGGCGUCUAAUACUGGAUACGAGCUGCGAAGGCAUCUUCAGCAGCUGGAAAGAAUUUCGGUCAGGGAUGAGCUCGCGGCCUAUCAGCUUGUUGGUGAGGUAAUGGCUCACCAAGGCGUCGACGGGUAGCCGGCCUGAGAGGGUGACCGGCCACACUGGGACUGAGACACGGCCCAGACUCCUACGGGAGGCAGCAGUGGGGAAUAUUGCACAAUGGGCGAAAGCCUGAUGCAGCAACGCCGCGUGAGGGACGACGGCCUUCGGGUUGUAAACCUCUUUUAGCAGGGAAGAAGCGAAAGUGACGGUACCUGCAGAAAAAGCGCCGGCUAACUACGUG